UAAGUGGACAGUCCAAGCUAGGCACGCGGCAACAGUUACAAGUACUACUACUAUUGCUGCUGCUGCUACUACAACUACUACUUCUACUACUAGUACGUGCUGCAAGCAACGGAACCAGAAUGGCGACAACAACAGCAGCAGCGGCGGCAGCGGCGGUAGUGUUGAUGAUGUUCCUAACUAUUGAUGCAAGACCAUCGCGCUCAUCGAGCGGUUACAA